GGCGGGUGGGACACGGCGGAGUAUCCGGCCUCCAUCUUCGGCACCGAGAAAGACAAAGUCAGCUGUUCAUUUUACUUCAAAACUGGAGCAUGUCGUCAUGGAGACAGGUGCUCUCGGUUGCACAAUAAACCGACGUUUAGCCAGACCAUUGGCCUCUUGAACAUUUCCCCUAACCCUCAAAACUCUUCCCAGUCGGCCGACGGUUUGCGCUGUGCCGUGAGCGAUGCUAAGAUGCAGGAACACUGUGAUGAAUUUUUUGAGGAGAUUUUUACAGAAAUGGAGGAGAAGUAUGGGGAAGCUGAGGAGACGAACGUCUGUGACAAGCUGGGAGGCCACCUGGUGGGGAGCGUGUACGGCAAGUUUCGCCGUGAGGCAGAUGCGGAAAAGGCUGUGACUGACUUGAACAACCGUUGGUUUAACGGACAGCCGAGCCACGCCGAGCCGUCACCUGAGACGGACUUCAGAGAAGCCUGCCGCCAUGGGAGAAUAUUCGCUCACGAGGCGGCUUCUGCGGCUUCAUGCAUUUGAAGCCCAUUUCCAGAGAGCUGCGGCGGGAGCUGUAUGGGCGGCGUCGCAAGAAGCAUAGAUCAAGAUCCCGAUCCCGGGAGCGUCGUUCUGGGUCUAGAGACCGUGGUCGUGGCGGUGGCGGUGGCGGUGGCGGUGGCCCAGGCGGCGGCGGCGGGAGCGUGACAGGAGGCGGUCGAGAGGUCGUGAAGGAUCUGGGCGAUUCUGA